rnacentral:rRNA from 1 species
GAUGAACGCUGGCGGCGUGCUUAACACAUGCAAGUCGAACGGAAAGGCCCAAGCUUGCUUGGGUACUCGAGUGGCGAACGGGUGAGUAACACGUGGGUGAUCUGCCCUGCACUUCGGGAUAAGCCUGGGAAACUGGGUCUAAUACCGGAUAGGACCACAUUUUGGAUGGUGUGGUGGAAAGUUUUUCGGUGUGGGAUGAGCUCGCGGCCUAUCAGCUUGUUGGUGGGGUAAUGGCCUACCAAGGCGUCGACGGGUAGCCGGCCUGAGAGGGUGUACGACCACAUUGGGACUGAGAUACGGCCCAGACUCCUACGGGAGGCAGCAGUGGGGAAUAUUGCACAAUGGGCGCAAGCCUGAUGCAGCGACGCCGCGUGGGGGAUGACGGCCUUCGGGUUGUAAACUCCUUUCGCUAGGGACGAAGCGUUAUGUGACGGUACCUGGAGAAGAAGCACCGGCUAACUACGUG